rnacentral:rRNA from 1 species
CAGUCGCCACGGGAAUACGGAGGGGGCUAGCGUUGUUCGGAAUUACUGGGCGUAAAGCGCACGUAGGCGGCUUUACAAGUCAGAGGUGAAAGCCUGGUGCUCAACACCAGAAUUGCCUUUGAGACUGUAUCGCUUGAACGUCGGAGAGGUGAGUGGAAUUCCGAGUGUAGAGGUGAAAUUCGUAGAUAUCGGAAGGAACACCUGUGGCGAAAGCGGCUCACUGGACCAUUACUGACGCUGAUGCACGAAAGCUAGGGGAGCAAACAGGAUUAGAUACCCCCGUAGUCCCUGUCUCUUAUAA